AGAAAGUGGGAAAUGUAGAGGCACAAGAGACAGAAACAGUACAGGGAACAACAAGCCAGGCGACAGAGACUGGAGAGAAAGAGGGAAACUAAGAGACAGAAACAGUGAAGGGAACAGCAAGCCAGGAGAAGGAGACAGAAGCCAGAGAGGGGCUAUUCUCUAACCUACUUGGACUACAACACCCAACUGACCCUGCAUGUCCUACAAUUCAACAUAAAGUACGAUGAGGCCUUUAUCCGAAUGUGUGAUAAUAUUGGACCCUGCCAAACCAGACGGUCAUUUCCAAAGAAUGUAGAGGGAUGGUCAUUUCAGAAGAAGUGGUAUGAAUGUAGAGCUCUUGGUGUGCAGCAGCCUCUGUGAGCAUCCUCUUAUAUUCUUGUAGCAGUCAGCCUUGGCAGUUGCAGCACAGCAGGUCUAUUCUCAGAUAAACUCCAGCAGUAUCAGCAGCAACAACAGCAGCAAAUGCACUUAAGAUUAAUUUAGGAU
ensembl:lncRNA